CACGUAGGGCGCAAGCGUUGUCCGGAAUUAUUGGGCGUAAAGAGCUCGUAGGCGGUCUGUUGCGUCCGCUGUGAAAACUCGAGGCUCAACCUCGAGAUGUCGGCGGAAACCACUUGGCUAGAGUCCGGAAGAGGAGAGUGGAAUUCCUGGUGUAGCGGUGAAAUGCGCAGAUAUCAGGAGGACACCGGUGGCGAAGGCGGGUCUCUGGGACGGUACUGACGCUGAGACGCGAAAGCGUGGGGAGCGAACAGG
rnacentral:rRNA from 1 species